GUGGGGCAUACAAAUUAAUUGUAAUGUUACUCAACAGUUCUUUUGAAAUAUUUAAGACUUGUAAUCCCACAUGCAUUUAUCUCAUUGGUCUGAGGAUGUUUGUUCGUGCUGACUGAUGAUAUUUGUUCAUAUUGACUUAACACUUCAUAAUUAACACAUAGAUGAGAAGGGCAAAGAGAAGACUGUUAUUUAAAAAAAAACAUUGUAAAUCUAAGAUAAGCCAAGGUUAAAAUUGAUUUCUUUAUGAGUAAACAAGCUGCUUUAUCUCAGCAGAUUUCUGUUGAUAAUUUUUUUUUUUUGUUAUCUGAUAUACUGUUGAUUCCUUUAUUUUCAUGGGUAUCAAUUUUUUGUGGAUAGAGGAAAUCUUGCAUUUUUGCAGAUAUUUGAUUUCAUGGUUUUGUUAAUCUCUGCGUAGAAAAACUAUAUAGAUAAUGUUAUGUGUUUAACAUUUAAAUUCAUGGUUUACCUGUACCUACAAAUCCCACCAAAAUUGGUAUCCAAAGAAUAAUUGUCUUUUAAUUCUUUUGUUUCACAAAUUUUAAGUAGGUUAUAUGGGAGGGUUAUAUUUAAAGGAGGUGGCACUAACUGAUGUUUAGAAUUUUACUCCCAUCAAUCAAUUUAAACUGACAUUCUAAACUAUAGUAUUAUAAUACAUUGUUGUUCAUUAUCUUCUUUGUCCAUCAACCUCAAAAGAAGUAAAAAGCUUUGGGUCCUAUUUUAAACAGGCAUUAGAACUGAG
rnacentral:lncRNA from 1 species